GAUGAAGAACGCAGCGAAAUGCGAUAAGUAGUGUGAAUUGCAGAAUUCAGUGAAUCAUCGAAUCUUCGAACGCACAUUGCGCCCCUUGGUAUCCCGAGGGGCAUGCCUGUUCGAGCGUCAUUUCACCACUCAAGCCUGGCUUGGUGUUGGGCGACGUCCUCUUUGGGGACGCGCCUCGAAACGCUCGGCGGCGUGGCACCGGCUUUAAGCGUAGCAGAAUCUUUCGCUUUGGAAGUCGGGGCCCCGUCUGCCGGAAGACCUGCUCGCAAGGUUGACCUCGGAUCAGGCAGGGAUACCCGCUGAACUUAAGCAUAUCAAUAAGCGGAGGA
rnacentral:misc_RNA from 1 species